AUAACAAAAGGUGGAGAAGUCGUAAUAAGGAUGCAUUUUUUGCUUCACGCCAUUAUGUCCUUUCAUUGGCUUCCCAGAUCGGGGCUCGGUGUAUUGUGACCAAACACUCGAGUAAAAACAGGGCGACACCAGGCGCAUACAAAAGUGGCAGCUUCGCUGGAGUGGGAGCAUAAUUACUUUGUUGGAGAGAUUUUAUCAAUUUUUGCGGUAGCUAAUGGAAAACUGGCUGACAAGCUUAAUGAAUUUCGGUGUGUCUCCUGAUGAUCAUCAAUUACCCUUCUCAAUGUCUGGCAUUCUUUCAUCUCUUGGAUGGAACGGAAUUCCUUGGAGGACGCUUGACUUGACAUUUCGAGAACCUCGUGACAUGUGACUAUGCAGAUCAUGUGAAACGGAUACUGACAUACGAGGAGAUUGUUACCAGGGUUUUGGAGGAUAACCCGAGAUGAACGGAUCAGAAAUCAGAUACUCCUUGAAACUUCAUUCGAGUUCCGGUAUCUCUUGAACUGCACUGCUGGAAUUACACAUUACACUGGAGCUCGAUUAGCAAUAGUUAUUCGUUUACCUAAUUAUUGAUAUGUUAUGCUUGUGAUGACAUUUCGGAGCCUAAUGGCGACUGAUCAUCAUUGCUAUCUUGGAAUGUGGUUCACAGUGAUAUGGAGGAAAUGUGAUAUUAGUGUGCAAUGAUGUAAUGGUAAAGAUUGUAUUGUGGAGCAAGGGGGUAAUCAUGGGUUCUAAAGGUGAGAAGAAGUCCGGUUUAGUGGGGGAGAAGUCCCACUCGGUGUACUCCGCCAACUGGAAGCUGGAUGCGAUGCUGGAUAAAGAAUUGAAUAUGUUGGAUACCUCUAAGCAUAGAGUUGAACAUCGGAUCUCGAUGGACCAAGUGGUCGCUCAAAAACGCUUCCAGGUGAAGCUUCAUCAUUCCAAGGUCUUUCACGCCAGGGUGAGGGGUGACCGGGAGAUGCUCAAGAAACUCAUCACCAAGGAUAACUAUGAUUUCAACACGAACACCACAUCUGUCGAUGUCCUCAAUAAACGCAGAGAGAAGGACCUGGCCAAGAAGCGAGUACUUCACCGCCAGUCACAGGAAAAGUUGAUGACUUUUCGAACAGUAACUCCAACACCUGCACCGUCGGCAAAGAUUCCUGACCUGCCAGGCGACGAAACUCAACAGUCAAAAGCCGAGGGUCCGACAGGCCCAACCAUUCGACCGAUGACUGCCAUUGAAAGGAUAACCCAUGCUAAGCUAUUAGCCACCGGGCAGGGCACUAAGAUUCGACCCAGGACAGCUGGCGUGGACAUAACUAGACCUAGGACAAUAAUACCAAAUGCCACAAAAAGACUGACCCCUCUCAGCACUUCAGAAAUCGCGGAUAGAAUACGAGCAAUCCCGGAGGAUAACCUUAAAUAUGUCACAGGAAGUGGGAAAAACCACGCGGAUGGUACUCAAAAGAAAAUUACCCAUGAUAAGAAUACGUCGCAAGAAAUUAUCAUAGAAAUAACGAAAGCGGACGAUGAUGAUAAUGCACAUAAAAGUGAAGUUAACCGAGAAGAUGAAAACAAUAAUAAAAACAUUUCUGAAUCAAGCACAGAUCCUGUCGAAACAACUCAUGAUGACAAAACUUCUCCAGAAAUAAUCAAGACUGACACCGAAAAAGGUUUAACUAAAGAUUCCGGAAGUGACUCGAAAAUCGCGCUGAAGAAAUCAAUCUUGAGACCAAAAACUGCCAUUGGAACAAGCUCCAGAUCAGAGAAAGGAAGAACAUCUGCCAAACCUGCAAGACCUAGGACAUCUUUAAAGGUAUCCGAAGGCAAUCCUAGUGAUCAAUCCGACAAUGAGUCCACUUCAAGCGGUAACCAUCGGCGGAGAUCAAUAUCGUCUAACACGGGACGUUGCAAGUCUGCGGCUGGGAAGUCGAAACGGAAAAAGAGCGCGGUGAGCAUAUUCAGCGAUGAGAAGUCUCUUACGAUCAUGGACAUCGACGAAGCAAGGCACCAGCGUGCCCAACACGGAGCGAGGAUCCAGGAAUACGUGAACAGUCUUGAUAGCGUCAAAACGGAUCCCGAUGAGUUCGUUGAUUACUACAUGGCGCGGCUUCUCGAGGAAUCCUCGAUUUCGGGUACGCAGAAGAACGUCGAGCGGAUAAGGGAUAUGCCGGACUCCGACUACGACGUCGACCUAGCAAGGCGGAGUAUGGGGAACAUGAAGGCGAACACGAUCACCUUUCGUGACGUCAAUCGGAAUUAUGACGAUUACGAGCACGAUCCGUACACCCCGCUUCAUCCGACCUCGAUGGCUUAUGGAUUGGCGUCAAGGGCCAGUACGACCGGUGGGAUCGCUCAACAUGAUAGUCUUAUCUCCAUUCCAACGUCAGCAUGGCAGGGUAAUGAUUCCGAUACAGACUCGGACUAAAUCGGUCUCAUGGAAAAAGACUAAUCGUUACUAAUGUCCAUUUCUUUUAAAUUUUUACAUGUUUUACUUCUUGUGAUAUUUUCCAAUUGGUGCAGAGUUUAAGUUUGGCUAUAGCAACGAUACUGGCAAUUUAUUUAUUAUAUGUUUCAUAUGCAAACUCUGAAUAAGAAAUUACUCUCCAAAUUGAGACAAUAAAGAAUGUGUGUACAUGUCUGAAGGGGACAAUUACCAUUCAUCCUUGAAAUCUUCACUCAAUCCGCAUAGCAAAUGUGACCAAGGUAUAAUACGCGCGUUUGAUUGGUUAAAUAUCGACCUGCGUUUGAUAUUUUUCAGUUGCGUUAGAUUGAUACUCUUUCUGAAAACGGUUCCUCUUGUGCCUAUUCAUGACUAGAGACUCUUGUCCACUUGUGAAAAAACUUUUAUUUGUGUAUAGAUGGUGCUGAUGGUAGGUUUCAAGUGAAAUGUUGAUUUUCUUUGCUAGCCUGCAUCUAUAAAUCUGCUACUGUAUAGGUCGAUUUGAAUGCAGUGUAUGCGUUAAUGUUUAGUGAUAAUGUAUACCGUAGAUCCAUUUGACCUAAAUUAAUCGAUUUAAUUUUUCUUUAAUAAUUCGCUGUUUAAGGAAUGAUUUUAGAGUGAAUGUAGAUUAAAUAUCUUAAGUUUAAACGUAUUAUUUUUCACUCAUAAAGGUGACCUCAGUGCAAUCUUGUCCGACCUAAUCCAACCUUUAAAUUCACUCUUUUUAGUUAAAGUGUGAACUUUUUUUUAUAAAUUCUUAAAGAAAUUUGGUAAAAACACUGUUUAAAAUAUUCAACACGUUGUUAAAGCCUGUCACUCUAUAUCAAGUAGUUGUUUAAGCUUUUCAACAAAACAUUUUUAAAUCGUUUUAACUGUUCUGGACAGCCUAUAAGAAUAUUUUAAACACCUUGGCCCGUAUUCUGAAGUCAGGUUUAACUUAGACCAUGGUCUAACUCUGUGCUAAAAUUAUGGGGAGCCAAAAUUUCAAAAAUUAUGUUUAUACUUUAUAUUUCUUAUGUUUACUAAAUCGGUUCCCUUUGCUUUCACAAUGAAGAAAAAUCCUUCAGUUAUCAUUUACAGACAGUUAUGAACAAUUUGAGUUCCAAAUGAGUUAAUAAAGUUGAUUUGAACUGUUGGGAUUUGUACCCCAAUUGGCUUUCCAUAGUUAAACCGCAACUUUAAACCAGGGUUUAAUUUAAACCCGAGUUCAGAAUACGGGCCCUCGUCUAAAAUUUUGAACAGUUAUAGUUGUUAAAGUGACUGGUUUAAACAACGUGCUUAAAAUUUUAAAAAGCGUUUUUUACAUGACGACAAAUAUAAUACACACGUGACCCAAACAUACUAGAGGUUGGGAGGGGAAGUGAGCAAAUUUAUCACUAUUUAAUUAUACUCACAUUAUGAUCCAAGUAUCUCUUGCAUGCAGUAGAGAAUAAAAUUAGUAUUAACAAAAUAUA